rnacentral:rRNA from 1 species
UGGGGAAUAUUGGACAAUGGGGCAACCCUGAUCCAGCAACGCCGCGUGGGGGAUGAAGGUCCUAGGAUUGUAAACCCCUGUUGGGAGGGACGAAGGCUUGCGGGCGAACAGUCCGUACGCUUGACGGUACCUCCAGAAGAAGCCCCGGCUAACUACGUGCCAGCAGCCGCGGUAAUACGUAGGGGGCAGCGUUGUCCGGAUUUACUGGGCGUAAAGUAGCGUGUAGGCGGCCAGGCAGGUCCGUUGUGAAACUGGAGGCUCAACCUUCAGACGUCGACGGAAACCGCUUGGCUAGAGUCCGGAAGAGGAGAGUGGAAUUCCUGGUGUAGCGGUGAAAUGCGCAGAUAUCAGGAGAACACCAAUGGCAAGGCAGCUCUCUGGGACGGUACUGACGCUGAGACGCGAAAGCGUGGGGAGCGAACAGGAUUAGAUACCCUGGUAGUCCACGCCGUAAACGAUAGGGUGCUAGGUGUGGGAGGUGUCGACUCCU